CUGCACUCAUUAUAAGGCAGCAUUUUCAAAUAAAUUUACCAAAAAGCUAUUUUAUAUGGUAUAUAUGCCACAAGAAAAGUAUCAGGUGAAAAAUAUCUCUACAUGCAAACAGAAUACAAAAUGGGAAAUUAUAUAUUUCUGAUGACAGAAC